rnacentral:misc_RNA from 1 species
CAAUCUCAGAGCCAGGCGCAGGGACCU